CCCGACUUCCGGACCGGGCACCGCCCGCUCCGCCAGGGCUCCGGCGCAAGCUGGAGCCCUUUUUUUGUU
rnacentral:sRNA from 1 species